CAAUCUGCCCUUCACUCUGGGACAAGCCCUGGAAACGGGGUCUAAUACCGGAUGAUACUUCUCCUCGCAUGGGGGGAGGUUGAAAGCUCCGGCGGUGAAGGAUGAGCCCGCGGCCUAUCAGCUUGUUGGUGAGGUAGUGGCUCACCAAGGCGACGACGGGUAGCCGGCCUGAGAGGGCGACCGGCCACACUGGGACUGAGACACGGCCCAGACUCCUACGGGAGGCAGCAGUGGGGAAUAUUGCACAAUGGGCGAAAGCCUGAUGCAGCGACGCCGCGUGAGGGAUGACGGCCUUCGGGUUGUAAACCUCUUUCAGCAGGGAAGAAGCGAAAGUGACGGUACCUGCAGAAGAAGCGCCGGCUAACUACGUG
rnacentral:rRNA from 1 species